UACGUAGGGUGCGAGCGUUAAUCGGAAUUACUGGGCGUAAAGCGUGCGCAGGCGGCGCGUUAAGACAGGUGUGAAAGCCCCGAGCUUAACUUGGGAAUUGCGCUUGUGACUGGCGUGCUGGAGUGUGGCAGAGGGAGGUGGAAUUCCACGUGUAGCAGUGAAAUGCGUAGAUAUCGAGAGGAACACCUGCGGCGAAGGCGGGUUGCUGGGCUGACACUGACGCUGAGGCGCGAAAGCUAGGGGAGCGAACGGG
rnacentral:rRNA from 1 species